GGGAGGGGCUGAGGUCAUCAGUGCACAAUGGUCAGGCCCGGAGUUUCAGUCCUUGUGACCUUGUGACCUUUGAAGAACGACAGAAGGAAUCGAGGGGCGUCGUGGCGACCGGGUUAGGUUUAUCUGCUGCUCUGGCUCCUUGCUCCUAGACCUAGGGGCGGGCCCCUAGUUAUGCGGCGUGCAGGCGACGGGAAGCGCUUGUCGUGAGCAGCAGCGAUGAGAUCAGUUUGCAUAACCACAGCGUCGGGGUGGGGAGUGCAGCCAGUCACGCAGCCACCACCCGACCCGGCUCAGGCUCUGCCCAGGUGGCAGCGGCUGCCCCACGGAUUUGGGUAGCUGGAGGUGGUCCUGCCCCUUCAAGGCCAGGGCCUGCUGGGGUGUCAGAAUCAUUCCAAGGGAGUGUCCAGGAGGCAGUGGGGAGGAGGGGAGCCACACACACACAAAAAACCCCCGCAACCUUCAGGGUUUGCAGACUGGAUUCUAUUAGGCAGGUUUCCAGACACAGUGAAAACCACUGUGCCUAGUAGGUAACUUCAAAGACCACUAUCAUGGAAAUCAAAGGUCAUUAAAAGGGGCCUUUAAUUUGUUUAUAUUAUUUCGCCUAGCAGUCUUUCCUAUGUGUGCAUGAAAUUUAAUUUAUGCAUUCAAGUCUGGAAUCCUGCUUUAGCAAGGGAAACAAUUAUGAAUUCAGUUAAGAGUAUGGGUACAAACGGAUUACUUAAAAGAACAAUGAACUGGGAAAAAAAAAUUCCAGCUCCUAACAAGAAGGCCAUUACAUUCAGCUUUUCACGGUUUUGAACAUCUUGUGCGGGCUCAACAAUAAUACGUGGAGGAAGCUUCUAAUUAGGCAUUUAAAACGCUAGCAUUUACGCCAGGAAAACGUCAAGAAUGCCUUAUGUUAUAGACAUGUGAAUACCAUCUACAUAUAUAAGAGAGGCUUGAAUGGCAAGGGGGGAAUGGAAAUACUAGAACAAGACUGAAGCUGACCUGCAGUUAUCAUGAAUGAAAAAUUAACAUUAAGUGAGAGAGAAACAUCAUAAACCACUAACAUGUCAGUGUAAGUGUUACAGCUCUGAAGGGAAAGGUAUUCUGGUAGUCAGAAGCCAAGGAAUACCACAAAGUCACUCUGUACAACACACAAGAGAUUUACUGGAAGAGACACAUAAGAAUGUGUCUCUUCUCUGCUCUGGCAAGAAGCAGCAGGGAACUGAGCAGGUGACAGGUAUAUAUAGGGUGUCUUAGGGGAAUUGUUUUCCAGGGUGGGAGUUGGUGAUAUUUCAAGUCCAGAACUUGGAGUGAGCCCACAGACUGGUGGGAUUUCAAGCCCAGGGAUUGAUGGGAUUUCAAGCUCAGGGACUGGUGGGUUUUGGUGGAUUUUCAAACUUGGAAGUGUGGUUGGACCUUUUAUUCUAUAAUCAGGGUUGCUGGUUCUUGCAAUUUAGUUUGACAGCCACAAAUUCCAGGAAGGCAAGGGAAAAUAAUAAUAGAAAUAUUUCAGAGUGAGAGGUGGUCAAAAUAAAUUUUGACACAAUGAGACAGAAGACUUAUAUGCCAGUUCAGUAUAGAGAACCACCACCACCAAGGGAAACAAUACAGGCUCUGAAAAGAUCUAGGAUCAGCAACCAUAGUGGGAUAUGCAAGGCAAAUCUUAGUAACCCAAGGUUUCAAACACUCUUCUGAGCUAAAUUGUCAUCCACCCCAGGCUGCUAGCUGGACCAGAUUGUCUUCUUAGUAUAUCUUCAAAUGGAAGAGACAUAGAAAGGGCACCAUCUCUCCUAUAGUUCGGGAUUGAGCACAUUGAUGAGUUUCUCUUGGGCUGAUCCAGAUCGGGUCAAGGACACUUUGGGAAGCCAUAGACAAUAUGCCCUUCUCAACUCUCUUGUCUUCUUUUUUUCAUGUAAUUUUCAUCUAGACUAUACAGGGUCUAUGAUGAAUGCUACCCUGCAAGAUAAAUAGUAUCUCUGUUUUAUCUACAAGGAAACUAAGACCUGGAGAAUCAAGUAACUUUCUAUAAUCACAAAGUAAGUGAUGGGAUUGUGAUUAAAUCCCAUCAGACCAGCUUCAGAAUCCACAGGAAAUUGUUGCAUUCCUAGGUGGAUGCUUGGAAAAUGCUGCUUUGAAAAGCACUGUCUAUCAUGACUGUCAAAAAUCAAAAUGUAUCAACCUUUGCUCAACAGUUACUUUGUUUUCCUAAGUGAGACAGUUGACCCAAACAUCAAGAAAUGAAGGUAUAAUUAUAAUUUUAAGUUAAAAUAUUUUUUCUCUUAAUCUGAUUACACUUUAACUUUUUUCUCCAAACCAG
rnacentral:lncRNA from 1 species